UUAGCUCUUAUUUGUAUGGAAUGGGAUCGUUUGCGUAUGUUUGCCGCUGGGGCACUGUUCCAAUUGCAUACAAAAUUAGCUUA
rnacentral:pre_miRNA from 1 species